UUUGACAAGUGGCUAUAAUCAUCUUUAUUUAGGCGUAUUUUGGGGUCAAAGCAGAGUGAACACCGUCCCUCAUUACCUCGAUUUAUUAGCACCUAUUCCUGGGCAGAUGCUGAAGAAGAAAAAUGUGAACUAAAAACUAAAGAUGACUCAGAGCCACCUGGAGAAGAACUAGUAGAAAGGACAAGGAAGCCAAGUCUUUCUGAAAAGAAAAAUAAUCCAUCAAAGUGGGAUGUCUCUUCAGUUUAUGACACAAUAGCUUCCUGGGCAACAAAUCUCAAGUCCUCCAUCAGAAAGGCUAAUAAGGCCCUCUGGCUCUCUAUUGCAUUCAUUGUACUGUUUGCAGCUUUGAUGAGCUUCCU
rnacentral:sRNA from 1 species